AACGAACGCUGGCGGCAUGCCUAACACAUGCAAGUCGAACGAGACCUUCGGGUCUAGUGGCGCACGGGUGCGUAACGCGUGGGAACCUGCCCUUAGGUUCGGAAUAACUCCCCGAAAGGGGUGCUAAUACCGGAUAAUGUCUUCGGACCAAAGAUUUAUCGCCUUUGGAUGGGCCCGCGUUGGAUUAGCUAGUUGGUAGGGUAAAAGCCUACCAAGGCGACGAUCCAUAGCUGGUCUGAGAGGAUGAUCAGCCACACUGGGACUGAGACACGGCCCAGACUCCUACGGGAGGCAGCAGUGGGGAAUAUUGGACAAUGGGCGAAAGCCUGAUACAGCCAUGCCGCGUGAGUGAUGAAGGCCUUAGGGUUGUAAAGCUCUUUUACCCGGGAUGAUAAUGACAGUACCGGGAGAAUAAGCACCGGCUAACUCCGUG
rnacentral:rRNA from 1 species